rnacentral:rRNA from 1 species
UACGGAGGGUGCGAGCGUUUGUCCGGAAUCAUUGGGCGUAAAGCGCGCGUAGGUGGCUUCGUAAGUCCGUUGUGAAAGUCAAAGGCUCAACCUUUGAAAGCCGAUGGAUACUGCGGAGCUAGAGUACGGAAGAGGCGAGUGGAAUUCCUGGUGUAGCGGUGGAAUGCGCAGAUAUCAGGAGGAACACCAAUAGCGAAGGCAGCUCGCUGGGACGUUACUGACACUGAGGCGCGAAAGCGUGGGGAGCGAACAGG